rnacentral:rRNA from 1 species
AGAUUGAACGCUGGCGGAAUGCUUUACACAUGCAAGUCGAACGGCAGCACGGGGGCAACCCUGGUGGCGAGUGGCGAACGGGUGAGUAAUACAUCGGAACGUGCCCAGUCGUGGGGGAUAACUACGCGAAAGCGUAGCUAAUACCGCAUACGAUCUACGGAUGAAAGCGGGGAUCGCAAGACCUCGCGCGAUUGGAGCGGCCGAUGGCAGAUUAGGUAGUUGGUGGGGUAAAGCUCACCAAGCCGUCGAUCUGUAGCUGGUCUGAGAGGACGACCAGCCGACACCUGGGACUGACGACACGGCCCAGACUCCUACGGGAGCAGCAGUGGGAAUUUUGGACAAUGGGCGCGAAGCCGUAGACGUCC